GCCUGGGUGGCUCAGUUGGUUAAGCGUCUGACUUUGGCUCAGGUCAUGAUCUCGCAGACUGUGAGUUCGAAAGCCCCACAUCGGGCU
rnacentral:tRNA from 1 species